rnacentral:rRNA from 1 species
CCUACGGGAGGCAGCAGUGGGGAAUAUUGGACAAUGGGCGAAAGCCUGAUCCAGCCAUGCCGCGUGUGUGAAGAAGGCCUUCGGGUUGUAAGCACUUUCAGUGGGGAAGAAAGCCUUGGGGCUAAUACCCUCGAGGAAGGACAUCACCCACAGAAGAAGCACCGGCUAACUCCGUGCCAGCAGCCGCGGUAAUACGGAGGGUGCGAGCGUUAAUCGGAAUUACUGGGCGUAAAGCGCGCGUAGGCGGUCUGAUAAGCCGGUUGUGAAAGCCCCGGGCUCAACCUGGGAACGGCAUCCGGAACUGUCAGGCUAGAGUGCAGGAGAGGAAGGUAGAAUUCCCGGUGUAGCGGUGAAAUGCGUAGAGAUCGGGAGGAAUACCAGUGGCGAAGGCGGCCUUCUGGACUGACACUGACGCUGAGGUGCGAAAGCGUGGGUAGCAAACAGGAUUAGAUACCCCAGUAGUC